GACUACUGGGGUAUCUAAUCCUGUUCGCUCCCCACGCUUUCGCGUCUCAGCGUCAGUACAGGCCCAGAGUGCCGCCUUCGCCACGGGUGUUCUUCCUGAUAUCUACGCAUUCCACCGCUACACCAGGAAUUCCACACUCCUCUGCCUGCCUCCAGACUCCCAGUCCCCAAGGCACUGUAUGGGGUUGAGCCCCAACCUUUCACCUCAGGCUUAAAAAUCCGCCUACACGCGCUUUACGCCCAAUAAAUUCGGACAACGCUCGCCCCCUCCGUAUUACCGCGGCUGCUGGCACGGAGUUAGCCGGGGCUUAUUCGUAAGGUACCGUCCUUGCUCGUCCCUUACAAAAGGAGUUUACAACCCGAAGGCCGUCUUCCUCCACGCGACGUCGCUGCGUCAGGGUUGCCCCCAUUGCGCAAGAUUCCUCACUGCAGCCCCCCGUAGG
rnacentral:rRNA from 1 species